GGCGACGUCACAGUGGCGCUACAGUGCCUGGAGCUGCGCUGGUUUUUCCUCGGAGUGGAGCCUGGUAACCGCGACUUCCCCGCCAUGUUCUGUGUGUUGCUGGCUGGAGAAGGGUGGUUGACAAACUCCGACCCAGCACAGUGUUUCUGUGGGUCAAAACUAGAAAACUAUGUCCAGGCUCGGCCGAGGCGGAAGGAUCCGUUCAGGCCAGGAGUUAAAGAGCUGCCUGGGCAACAUGGCGCGACCCCAUCUCUGUAGUCCCACCUCAGCUUCCCAGAUACUUGAACCCCAAGGUUCAAGGCUGCAAUGAGCUAUGAUCCCAUCACAGCACUCCAUCCUGCGAGACGGAGGUAAACCUUGUCUAAAAAAAUAAACUAUCCAAGUGUACAACAGGGAGGGACUGCUUAAAGAAAACAUGAUAAUUGUAUGUUCAAAUACUUUUAACAAGUGCAAAAUGUAUAGGCUGAAAUAAAUAGGGCUGGCCGGGCACGUUGGCUCACGCCUGUAAAUUCCAACAUUUUGUGUGCUCGAGGCAUUCCGAUCAGUAGACAUGGGUGAAACCCCAUGUCUACUAAAAAUAUAAAAAUUAGGCCAGGAACUUUGCAUCGUUUUAGGGGGCUCGCAUCUC
ensembl:lncRNA LINC00174 long intergenic non-protein coding RNA 174